rnacentral:rRNA from 1 species
CCCCUAGUAACUGCGAGUGAAGAGGGAAAAGCUCAAAUUUUGAAUCUGGCGGUCCUCGUGGCCGUCCGAGUUGUAAUCUAGAGAAGCGUCUUCCGCGCUGGACCGUGUACAAGUCUCCUGGAAGGGAGCGUCAUAGAGGGUGAGAAUCCCGUCUUUGACACGGACUGCCAGUGCUAUGUGAUGCGCUCUCGAAGAGUCGAGUUGUUUGGGAAUGCAGCUCAAAAUGGGUGGUAAAUUCCAUCUAAAGCUAAAUACAGGCGAGAGACCGAUAGCGAACAAGUACCGUGAGGGAAAGAUGAAAAGAACUUUGGAAAGAGAGUUAAACAGUACGUGAAAUUGCUGAAAGGGAAACGCUUGAUGUCAGUCGCGUCCGCCAGGGAUCAACCUUGCUUCUUCGCUGGGUGCAUUUCUUGGUCGGACGGGUCAGCAUCGGUUUCGAUCGAGGUAGAAUGGNCGAGGGAACGUGGCACCUCUAGGGGUGUGUUAUAGCCCUGGGUCGUAUGCGUCGGUAGGGACCGAGGAACUCGGCACGACCUUCACGGGUCGGUGUCUAGGAUGCUGGCAUAAUGGCCUUAAGCGACCCGUCUUGAAACACGGACCAAGGAGUCUAACAUGCCUGCGAGUGUUCGGGUGGAAAACUCGAGCGCGCAACGAAAGUGAAAGUCGAGAUCUCUGUCGUGGAGAGCAUCGACGCCCGGACCAGAGUCUUU